UCGGUUCCCGUACGAUCACCGAAGUUAAGCAACGUCGAGCCUAGCUAGUACCUAAAUGGGUGACCAAUUAGAAAUACUAGCUGCU